UGGGGAAUAUUGCACAAUGGGCGCAAGCCUGAUGCAGCCAUGCCGCGUGUGUGAAGAAGGCCUUCGGGUUGUAAAGCACUUUCAGCGAGGAGGAAGGGUAGUGUGUUAAUAGCACAUUGCAUUGACGUUACUCGCAGAAGAAGCACCGGCUAACUCCGUGCCAGCAGCCGCGGUAAUACGGAGGGUGCAAGCGUUAAUCGGAAUUACUGGGCGUAAAGCGCACGCAGGCGGUUUGUUAAGUCAGAUGUGAAAUCCCGCGCUUAACGUGGGAACUGCAUUG
rnacentral:rRNA from 1 species